GCAGUGUCCCAGUGGUGUAUGCACUUGCCUGCAGAAGAAAAGAGGUUGGUUCAAAUACCUCCAUU
rnacentral:tRNA from 1 species